UCAAAGAGUGCUUGAAAUUGU
rnacentral:siRNA from 1 species